GUACCGGGUGGUAACAUUCGGUACCGCAUAGUAUGACUCAAACCAUCCUAAAACAAAUUGAUUCUCCCGAAACAAAUUGGUUCUUGAAUUUUGACAGUUGCCUUUUUAAUCUCUCUUCCAAUCCCGAUUCGUCUUGCGUUGCUCGCUGCUCAUCGUCGCCACCAGUAGUUUCUUACCCUCAUAGCUAAAUGUUUACUGAAGCUGAUUUAGAUUUCUAAAAGCAAUUCCCGUUGAGAUGGAAGGCACCUCUUCUAUGCCCCAACAACUUCUGCUUCACCUUCCAUCUGGAUAUCUUCUUGAUGCCGACAUCCUCCUUCUAGUCAUCACGGACCUGAAAUUGCCAACAGCAUCAAAAACCACAGCCAAAUUGAUCUUAGCACUUCAAUACAAAAUGAGAUCCA
rnacentral:lncRNA from 1 species